UCCCUGGUGGCUCAGACGAUAAAGCAUCUGCCUGCAAUGCGGGAGACCUGGGUUUGAUCCCUGGGUGGGGAA
rnacentral:tRNA from 1 species